rnacentral:rRNA from 1 species
UCUCUUUGUAUUUAUAAUAAAGAGUUGGGCCUGCUCAGUGAGUAUUUUAAACAGCUGCGGUAUUUUAACUGUACUAAGGUAGCAUAAUAAUUUGCCUUAUAAAUUGAGGCUAGAAUGAAAGGUUUGACGAAGGUUUAUCUGUCUCUAACUUAUUUGUUAGAAUUUAAUUUUUUAGUGAAAAAGCUUAAAUACUUUAAAGGGAAGAGAAGACCCUAUUGAGCUUUAAUUUAAAAGACUAUUAAAAAAUUAUAGUUAAUAAAAAUUUUAAUUGGGGUGAUUAAGGAAUAAAAAAGGCAACUUCCUUAAAAUUAAAAGUUGUUAGGUUAAGUAACCAAUAAUAUUGCUUUUAUAAAGUUACCAUAGGGAUAACAGCGUAAUUUAUUUAGCGAGCUCUAAUUAAAAAAUAAGAUUGCGACCUCGAUGUUGGAUUAAAGUGACCUUAAGGUGUAGCAGCUUUAGUUGGUAAAUCUGUUCGAUUUUUAAAACUUUAC